UUUUUUCGAUUAUGGGGUUCGAAUGCCCUAGCUCCCCUCUUGAGCAACUUUAACAUUAAAGAUUUAUAUAGCUAAUAUCAACUUAUCUGGGAUUGAUACAUAAUUGUUGUGGUUAUCUAAAUGUUAUGAAAGAGGGAAUUAUAAAUAUCCUUAGUGGUGGAUAAGCAGGAGGGCCUAAUACAAAAAGAAUAUUAUUAGGAUGGGGGACCAUAAAGAUUUGUUCUUUCUCUCUAAUUUUUUUUUAAAGACCUAGGCUAGUACAGAUAAUAUAGUGGACAAAUCCUAGGCCUUCAAGAUUGUUAUAUAUAACAGGACUUGCAUGAAACAAGAUAAAACAGCAACUUAGUUGUGAAGCACAAGAAGAUGUGGAGAAAGAAAAAAAAGAAGAAGGAUGUUGAUGUACUACUCGAGGAAAUGGCGAUCACUAGGUCACACCCUUUGGUGCAUCUGAUGUGAGUCGAUACUAAGGCGCGAUCCGCCAGAAAACAGGCAAGUCAUAUAGGCAAAGGGAAGGCAACGCCUUUCUUCCAGAUUUUAAUUCCUCUUUUUUUUUUCUUUUCAUGUAUUUUCAUAUUGUAUUACUUUCCAUCAUGGAUAAGUUGGGGUUUUCAAGUUUCACAUGUAUAAUGAUGUUUUAAGUCUUUUAGCUUUGGAUUGAACUACUGUUCAAACAAAUACCUUGUAUUGUGUUUCUUUUCAAGUAAUAUUGCCCUAUUCUUACUUUCCUAUUUUAUCCGAUGUGUUCCGUGAUCAGCCAUGAUUUUCACUAAGAGGAUAUUGUUCAAACGAUUAUACAAAAUAAAUAUUCAUCUGGGAUUCAAAAUAUGUGAUAUAUGUCAUGUAAUUUUAAAACGAAGAAGUACCGAUCGACUCUCUUUGGACAGGAUACGUCAACGUGCUUUUGAUGAUAAAUGAUUCAUGACGAUGAAACAAGCCAGACUUGGAAAGAAGUUAAACAACUCAUCCACAAAUAUUAAAUGAACAUAUAGGAGUAUGUGUCACGCAUGACGCAUUGAUGAAUAAUAACAUAUUUAUUAUUGUAAUGAUUCGAGAAAUCUAAUAUAAAAUUGAAGAAGUUGCCA
rnacentral:lncRNA from 1 species